rnacentral:tRNA from 1 species
CAGGAUGCCCGAGUAGGUCUAAGGGGAGCGACUUAAGAUCGCCUGUACUAUGUACGCGUGGGUUCGAAUCCCACUCCUGACA